GGUACUACAGAAUCACUUAAAGGUUUUGGUCAGAUGGGACUUCUGGAGAGCUCCAGUCCAGCUUCUGCCCUGAACAAAGCUCAUCUCCAAGACCAGUUUGAGACCUCCAUGACCCCUCAAGAAACAGAAAAGUGAACCUUAAUGCUAUUGAAAUAGCAUCAUCACGAUGAAAAAUAGAUGAACUCCUGUUGCCUGUGAACAAACCAGCUCUGUGGAGAGCUGUCUCCAGCCAAGCGACUCCCCUG